rnacentral:rRNA from 1 species
GAUCAUGGCUCAGGAUGAACGCUGGCGGCGUGCUUAACACAUGCAAGUCGAGCGAAGCGCUUAAGUUUGAUUCUUCGGAUGAAGACUUUUGUGACUGAGCGGCGGACGGGUGAGUAACGCGUGGGUAACCUGCCUCAUACAGGGGGAUAACAGUUAGAAAUGACUGCUAAUACCGCAUAAGACCACGGUACCGCAUGGUACAGUGGUAAAAACUCCGGUGGUAUGAGAUGGACCCGNGU